GGGAAUGUGGCUUAGUGGUAAAGUGCUUGCCUAGCAUGCAUGAAGCCCUGGGUUUGAUUCCCACAUUAACA
rnacentral:tRNA from 1 species